UACGUAGGGUGCGAGCGUUAAUCGGAAUUACUGGGCGUAAAGAGUGCGUAGGCGGUUCGUUAUGUCUGCUGUGAAAGCCCCGGGCUUAACCCGGGAAUGGCAGUGGAAACUGGCGGGCUUGAGUGUGGCAGAGGGGGGUGGAAUUCCGCGUGUAGCAGUGAAAUGCGUAGAGAUGCGGAGGAACACCGAUGGCGAAGGCAGCCCCCCUGGGCCAACACUGACGCUCAGGCACGAAAGCGUGGGGGAGCAAACAGG
rnacentral:rRNA from 1 species